rnacentral:lncRNA from 1 species
AUUUUUGCAAUCGCUGGCACUCCAGGCUCGAUUCUUCUCCUCUCUUGGAUCUUUCCAUUCCCCUUCGACUCCCCCACGGUGCAAUGGGGUGUGCCACCGGUACCAGGCCUCUAGGUACGUCGCCUCUCUCUCUCUCUCUCUCUCUACACCUGGCUUNNNNNNNNNNNNNNNNNNNNUACGUCGCCUCCUCUCUCUCUCUCUCUCUCUACACCUGGCUUGACCUUAUCCGCUUCUCUAAUGAUCCACCAUGGCCUCGAGGGAUGGAAGAUGCCUUAGCUCCGCCAAGAGGGUUGGGACCAAUUUCAUGGAAGUUGUCCAUUGUUUAGUAGUACAUAGCCUUUUGGUGCAAAAAAGAGAAUAUUUAGAAAAUCUUUAAGUCUUCGGUUUUUUUUGUUGAACAAGUCAUCAGGAUUAGAACAGAUUUUCUACCCCCAAUGUCUUGAAUCUGUUGAUGGUGACACAAUUUCUUUUAUUUAUGAAACGA